UACGGGGGGGGCAAGCGUUGUUCGGAAUUACUGGGCGUAAAGGGUGCGUAGGCGGUCCGCUAAGUUGGAUGUGAAAACUCUGGGCUUAACCCAGAGCCUGCAUUCAAAACUGACGGGCUAGAGUUCUGGAGGGGGUAGCGGAAUUCCUGGUGUAGCGGUGAAAUGCGUAGAUAUCAGGAGGAACACCGGUGGCGAAGGCGGCUACCUGGACAGAAACUGACGCUGAGGCAACGAAAGCUAGGGGGAGCAAACAGG
rnacentral:rRNA from 1 species